CCUACGGGUGGCAGCAGUGAGGAAUAUUGGUCAAUGGGCGCGAGCCUGAACCAGCCAAGUCGCGUGAGGGAUGACGGCCCUACGGGUUGUAAACCUCUUUUGCAGGGGAGCAACGGGCGCCACGUGUGGCGCCACAGAGAGUACCCGGCGAAAAAGCAGCGGCUAAUGCGGUGCAAGCAGCCGCGGUAAUACGGGGGAUGCGAGGGUUAUCGGGAUUUAUUGGGGUUAAAGGGUGCGUGGGCGGAACGUAAAGUCAGUGGUCAAUUGGAGGGGCUCAACCCCUUCCCGCCAUUGAAACUGGCGCUCUUGAGUGGAAGAGAAGUAUGCGGAAUGCGUGGUGUAGCGGUGAAAUGCAUAGAUAUCACGCAGAACCCCGAUUGCGAAGGCAGCAUGCCGGCUUCCGACUGACGCUGAAGCACGAAAGCGUGGGGAUCGAACAGGAUUAGAUACCCCUGUAGUC
rnacentral:rRNA from 1 species